rnacentral:rRNA from 1 species
AUUGAACGCUGGCGGCAGGCCUAACACAUGCAAGUCGAGCGGCGCGGCGGCCGGGUACGUAAUGCCUAGGAAUCUGCCUGGUAGUGGGGGAUAACGUCAGGAAACGGGAGCUAAUACCGCAUCCUCUCAGAUUCGCAUAGGCCGGAUUAGCUUGUUGGUGUGGUAAAGGCCUACAAAGGCGACGAUCCGUAACUGGUCUGAGAGGAUGAUCAGUCACACUGGAACUGAGACACGGUCCAGACUCCUACGGGCGGCAGCAGUGGGGAAUAUUGGACAAUGGGCGAAAGCCUGAUCCAGCCAUGCCGCGUGUGUGAAGAAGGUCUUCGGAUUGUAAAGUACUUUAAGUUGGGAGGCGUUACCAACAGAAGAAGCACCGGCUAACUUCGUGCCAGCAGCCGCGGUAAUUC